UAUUGCACAAUCCCCGGCCUGU
rnacentral:miRNA from 2 species